rnacentral:rRNA from 1 species
GNAGGNCACAAGCGNUGUCCGGAAUCACUGGGUGUAAAGGGAGCGCAGGCGGGAAGACAAGUUGGAAGUGAAAUCNANGGGCUCAACCCAUAAACUGCUUUCAAAACUGUUUUUUCNCGAGUAGUGCAGAGGUAGGCGGAAUUCCCGGUGUAGCGGUGGAAUGCGUAGAUAUCGGGAGGAACACCAGUGGCGAAGGCGGCCUACUGGGCACCAACUGACGCUGAGGCUCGAAAGUGUGGGUAGCAAACAGGAUUAGAUACCCUGGUAGUCCACGCCGUAAACGAUGAAUGCUAGGUGUUGGGGAGCAAAGCUCUUUCGGUGCCGCCGCAAACGCAUUAAGCAUUCCACCUGGGGAGU